GGCCUCAUUCUGUGAGAUGGGCACUAUUUAUUGUGGUGUCCAAAAUUGUCAAUGUGGCUAUAUUGAGACACAGGUUAUGCUUCCAUCACGGUGACUGAAUUGCAGUGGUGACAAUGAGACCUGUAACAAUU